CCGAGUGUAGCAUAAUGGUUAGGGAGCUGGGCUUCAAACUCAGAGGUGGUGGGUUUGAUUCCCAGGUAGGGGA